UACGGGGGGGGGCAAGCGUUGUUCGGAAUUACUGGGCGUAAAGGGCUCGUAGGUGGCCAACUAAGUCAGACGUGAAAUCCCUCGGCUUAACCGGGGAACUGCGUCUGAUACUGGAUGGCUAGAGAUUGGGAGAGGGAUGCGGAAUUCCAGGUGUAGCGGUGAAAUGCGUAGAUAUCGGGAGGAACACCAGUAGCGAAGGCGACACUCUGGGCCGGUACUGACGCUGAGGAGCGAAAGCGUGGGGAGCAAACAGG
rnacentral:rRNA from 1 species